GGGGAUAUAGCUCAGUUGGUAGAGUGUUUGCCUCAUAUGCCCAAGGCCCUGAGUUCAAUCCCCAGCACCACCA
rnacentral:tRNA from 1 species